rnacentral:rRNA from 1 species
GACGAACGCUGGCGGCAUGCCUAACACAUGCAAGUCGAACGAGACCUUCGGGUCUAGUGGCGCACGGGUGCGUAACGUGUCGGAACCUGCCCUUAGGCUCGGACUAACUCCCCGAAAGGGGUGCUAAUAACGGCUAAUGUCUUCGGACCAAAGAUUUAUCGCCUCGGGAUGGGCCCGCGUUGGAUUAGCUAGUUGGUAGGGUAAUAGCCUACCAAGGCGACGAUCCAUAGCUGGUCUGAGAGGAUGAGCAGCCACACUGGGACUGAGACACGGCCCAGACUCCUACGGGAGGCAGCAGUAGGGAAUAUUGGGCAAUGGGCGAAAGCCUGAUCCAGCAAUGCCGCGUGAGUGAUGAAGGCCUUAGGGUUGUAAAGCUCUGUUACCCGGGAUGAUAAUGACAGUACCGGGAGAAUAAGCUCCGGCUAACUCCGUG